CCACGCCGUAAACGAUGAGUGCUAAGUGUUGGAGGGUUUCCGCCCUUCAGUGCUGCAGCUAACGCAUUAAGCACUCCGCCUGGGGAGUACGACCGCAAGGUUGAAACUCAAAGGAAUUGACGGGGGCCCGCACAAGCGGUGGAGCAUGUGGUUUAAUUCGAAGCAACGCGAAGAACCUUACCAGGUCUUGACAUCCUUUGACCACUCUAGAGAUAGAGCUUCCCCUUCGGGGGCAAAGUGACAGGUGGUGCAUGGUUGUCGUCAGCUCGUGUCGUGAGAUGUUGGGUUAAGUCCCGCAACGAGCGCAACCCUUAUUGUUAGUUGCCAUCAUUCAGUUGGGCACUCUAGCAAGACUGCCGGUGACAAACCGGAGGAAGGUGGGGAUGACGUCAAAUCAUCAUGCCCCUUAUGACCUGGGCUACACACGUGCUACAAUGGGAAGUACAACGAGUCGCAAAGUCGCGAGGCUAAGCUAAUCUC
rnacentral:rRNA from 1 species